rnacentral:rRNA from 1 species
GACGAACGCUGGCGGCGUGCUUAACACAUGCAAGUCGAACGGAAAGGCCCUGCUUUUGUGGGGUGCUCGAGUGGCGAACGGGUGAGUAACACGUGAGUAACCUGCCCUUGACUUUGGGAUAACUUCAGGAAACUGGGGCUAAUACCGGAUAGGAGCUCCUGCUUCAUGGUGGGGGUUGGAAAGUUUCGGCGGUUGGGGAUGGACUCGCGGCUUAUCAGCUUGUUGGUGGGGUAGUGGCUUACCAAGGCUUUGACGGGUAGCCGGCCUGGGAGGGUGACCGGCCACAUUGGGACUGAGAUACGGCCCAGACUCCUACGGGAGGCAGCAGUGGGGAAUAUUGCACAAUGGGCGGAAGCCUGAUGCAGCAACGCCGCGUGCGGGAUGACGGCCUUCGGGUUGUAAACCGCUUUCGCCUGUUACGAAGCGUGAGUGACGGUAAUGGGUAAAGAAGCACCGGCUAACUACGUG